GGCCAGACUCCUACGGGAGGCAGCAGUGGGGGAUAUUGCACAAUGGGGGGAACCCUGAUGCAGCGACGCCGCGUGGGUGAAGGAGUAUUUCGGUAUGUAAAGCCCUAUCGGCAGGGAAGAAGCAAGACGGUACCUGACUAAGAAGCCCCGGCUAACUACGUGCCAGCAGCCGCGGUAAUACGUAGGGAGCAAGCGUUGUCCGGAAUUACUGGGUGUAAAGGGAGCGCAGACGGCAGUGCAAGUCUGGAGUGAAAGCCCGUGGCUUAACUACGGGACUGCUCUGGAAACUGUGCAGCUAGAGUGCAGGAGAGGCAGGCGGAAUUCCUAGUGUAGCGGUGAAAUGCGUAGAUAUUAGGAGGAACACCAGUGGCGAAGGCGGCCUGCUGGACGAUGACUGACGCUGAGGCUCGAAAGCGUGGGGAGCAAACAGGAUUAGAUACCCGAGUA
rnacentral:rRNA from 1 species